AAACCGGCGGGAGUGGCGCACGGGCUGAGUAGCGCGUGGGAACCUGCCCUGUUGUGGGGGAUAACCGAUUUUUAAACCUCGGCUAAUACCGCAUGCGCCCCCGGGAGUGAUCCUGGGGGGAAAGAUUUAUCGCAGCAGGAGGGGCCCGCGUCGGAUUAGCUGGUUGGUGGGGUAACGGCCUACCAAGGCACCGAUCCGUAGCUGGNCUGAGAGGAUGAUCAGCCACACUGGGACUGAGACACGGCCCAGACUCCUACGGGAGGCAGCAGUGGGGAAUAUUGGACAAUGGGCGCAGCCUGAUCCA
rnacentral:rRNA from 1 species